rnacentral:rRNA from 1 species
GUUGAAGGAUUUGGAAAAUUCCGCUAAAGAGGGUGAAAGCCCCGUAGACGAAAUGCUGACAACACCUAGGAGGAUCCUGAGUACGGCGGAACACGAGAAAUUCCGUCGGAAUCCGCGGGGACCAUCCCGCAAGGCUAAAUACUCCCUAGUGACCGAUAGUGAACCAGUACCGUGAGGGAAAGGUGAAAAGCACCCCGGAAGGGGAGUGAAAUAGAUCCUGAAACCGUGUGCCUACAACAAGUCAAAGCUCGUUAAUGAGUGAUGGCGUGCCUUUUGUAGAAUGAACCGGCGAGUUACGAUUGCAUGCGAGGUUAAGUCGAAGAGACGGAGCCGCAGCGAAAGCGAGUCUGAAUAGGGCGAAUGAGUAUGUAGUCGUAGACCCGAAACCAUGUGAUCUACCCAUGUCCAGGUUGAAGGUGCGGUAAAACGCACUGGAGGACCGAACCCACGUACGUUGAAAAGUGCGGGGAUGAGGUGUGGGUAGCGGAGAAAUUCCAAACGAACUUGGAGAUAGCUGGUUCUCUCCGAAAUAGCUUUAGGGCUAGCCUCGGAAUUGAGAAUGAUGGAGGUAGAGCACUGUUUGGACUAGGGGCCCAUCUCGGGUUACCGAAUUCAGAUAAACUCCGAAUGCCAUUCAUUUAUAUCCGGGAGUCAGACUGCGAGUGAUAAGAUCCGUAGUCGAAAGGGAAACAGCCCAGACCACCAGCUAAGGUCCCAAAAUAUAUGUUAAGUGGAAAAGGAUGUGGGGUUGCACAGACAACUAGGAUGUUGGCUUAGAAGCAGCCACCAUUUAAAGAGUGCGUAAUAGCUCACUAGUCGAGUGACCCUGCGCCGAAAAUGUACCGGGGCUAAACAUAUUACCGAAGCUGUGGACUACACCAUUAGGUGUAGUGGUAGGAGAGCGUUCUAAGGGCGUUGAAGGUCGAUCGUGAGGACGGCUGGAGCGCUUAGAAGUGAGAAUGCCGGUAUGAGUAGCGAAAGACAGGUGAGAAUCCUGUCCACCGUAUGACUAAGGUUUCCUGGGAAAGGCUCGUCCGCCCAGGGUUAGUCGGGACCUAAGCCGAGGCCGAUAGGCGUAGGCGAUGGACAACAGGUUGAUAUUCCUGUACCAGUUGUUUUUGUUUGAGCAAUGGAGGGACGCAGUAGGCUAAGGAAUGCAUGCGAUUGGAAGUGCAUGUCCAAGCAAUGAGUCUUGAGUAGAGUUAAAUGCUUUACUCUCUAAGGACAAGUUGUGACGGGGAGCGAAAUAAUAGUAGCGAAGUUCCUGAUGUCACACUGCCAAGAAAAGCUUCUAGUGAGAAAACAACUGCCCGUACCGUAAACCGACACAGGUAGUCGAGGAGAGUAUCCUAAGGUGAGCGAGCGAACUCUCGUUAAGGAACUCGGCAAAAUGACCCCGUAACUUCGGGAGAAGGGGUGCUGACUUCGGUCAGCCGCAGUGAAUAGGCCCAAGCGACUGUUUAUCAAAAACACAGGUCUCUGCAAAAUCGUAAGAUGAAGUAUAGGGGCUGACGCCUGCCCGGUGCUGGAAGGUUAAGAGGAUGGGUUAGCUUCGGCGAAGCUCAGAAUUGAAGCCCCAGUAAACGGCGGCCGUAACUAUAACGGUCCUAAGGUAGCGAAAUUCCUUGUCGGGUAAGUUCCGACCCGCACGAAAGGCGUAACGAUUUGGGCACUGUCUCAACGAGAGACUCGGUGAAAUUUUAGUACCUGUGAAGAUGCAGGUUACCCGCGACAGGACGGAAAGACCCCAUGGAGCUUUACUGUAGUUUGAUAUUGAGUGUUUGUACCACAUGUACAGGAUAGGUAGGAGCCGAUGAGACCGGAACGCUAGUUUCGGAGGAGGCGCUGGUGGGAUACUACCCUUGUGUUAUGAACCCUCUAACCCGCACCACUAAUCGUGGUGGGAGACAGUGUCAGAUGGGCAGUUUGACUGGGGCGGUCGCCUCCUAAAAGGUAACGGAGGCGCCCAAAGGUUCCCUCAGAAUGGUUGGAAAUCAUUCGAAGAGUGUAAAGGCAGAAGGGAGCUUGACUGCGAGACCUACAAGUCGAGCAGGGACGAAAGUCGGGCUUAGUGAUCCGGUGGUUCCGCAUGGAAGGGCCAUCGCUCAACGGAUAAAAGCUACCCUGGGGAUAACAGGCUUAUCUCCCCCAAGAGUCCACAUCGACGGGGAGGUUUGGCACCUCGAUGUCGGCUCGUCGCAUCCUGGGGCUGUAGUCGGUCCCAAGGGUUGGGCUGUUCGCCCAUUAAAGCGGCACGCGAGCUGGGUUCAGAACGUCGUGAGACAGUUCGGUCCCUAUCCGUCGCGGGCGUUGGAAAUUUGAGAGGAGCUGUCCUUAGUACGAGAGGACCGGGAUGGACUUACCGCUGGUGUACCAGUUGUUCUGCCAAGGGCAUUGCUGGGUAGCUAUGUAGGGAAGGGAUAAACGCUGAAAGCAUCUAAGUGUGAAGCCCACCUCAAGAUGAGAUUUCCCAUUUCUUUAAGAAAGUAAGACCCCUGAGAGAUGAUCAGGUAGAUAGGUUGGAAGUGGAAGGCUAGUGAUAGUUGGAGCGGACCAAUACUAAUCGGUCGAGGACUUAACCAAA